rnacentral:lncRNA from 1 species
CUCCUUCAGAACGUGACCUUAUUUGCAAAUAGAGCCAUUGUCGAUGUAUUGUAAUUGGUUAAGUGAGGUCAUAAUGGAGUAGGUGGACCUUUGGUCCACUAUGGCUGAUGUCCUUCUAAUAAGAGAGAUGAGAGACACAGGGAGAAUGCCUCGCGAUGACAGAAGCAGAGACCGGAGUGAUUCCUGCCUUCAUAGGAGGAAGGAUGUGUUGUCUGUAGUCAUCCUAGUGGACUUCGAGCAUCAGUAUGGAAUCAUGGUGAGAAACAAGACAGACUCCCUGGAUCUAAAUCCCUACGCUGACAUGAUACUACCAGAGGAAAAUAAAGUGGCUGUGGGCAAAUCAUUUCCCUUCACUGUGCCUCAGUUUCAUUAUCUAUGAAAUGAGAAUAAAAUCAGUCAGCAGCAGCAU